rnacentral:rRNA from 1 species
UACGUAGGGUGCGAGCGUUAAUCGGAAUUACUGGGCGUAAAGCGUGCGCAGGCGGUUUUGUAAGCCAGAUGUGAAAUCCCCGGGCUUAACCUGGGAAUGGCAUUUGGGACUGCAAGGCUGGGAGUGCGGCAGAGGAGACUGGAAUUCCUGGUGUAGCAGUGAAAUGCGUAGAUAUCAGGAGGAAUACCGAUGGCGAAGGCAGGUCUCUGGGCUGACACUGACGCUCAUGCACGAAAGCGUGGGGAGCAAACAGG